CCCCGCCUAUCUCCCAUUGCGCUCCUGUGCAACCAUACUUACGGAGUCAAGCCUUAUUUGGUUUGAUCAGAUUUGAUUCCUUGGUUUUGUGUAGGACAUGGAGAAGGCCAUCAUCCGAAAAGGUAAGCAUCUGGAGGCCAUAUCCGGUUUCAUCUCAAGGAACAAGUGUAAAGGCAUCAGAUCUAUUUACAAACAUGAGAUCAAUCCGCAUAUUAUGGAGCUCGAUCGAAAGGGAAGCGGGAUUAUAGGAACCAGUUAUAGUGAGGAUUUAAUUUUUGAUGAUUGGUAGCGAGAUCGAUGAAAACAUGAGGUGGAUUUUCAUGGGACACCAGGUUUGCUCGUGAGGAGGUGAGAGAAGUACAGAGGUAGAAGUAGCUUGAGAUGAUCGUGACAGGUGAGAUUGAUUAUUGCAACCCUCGUGUGGAUUUUUUAUGUGCAUGCACAACAACCCUUCAUUUGUGCCUUUGAUCAUCAGAUCAAACGACAAGUUUAUUGUCUGAUUAAUUAGAGAUUUCUAUUUUGGAAUGAAAUUAUCUGAAAUUUUGCUAUCCCGCUGGUCCUUACUAAUUCAGUAUAUACUAUAUUUUCAAGUUUGCCUAUAUAUAUACUAGAAUUUGAAGUUGCGACCAUCCAUUGUUCUACCGUGGAGAUCAGGAAUAAUGAUUGCAGUUGCAGGGCCGCCGCCGUUGCUGAACACAAACGGGGCUCGGAGCAGGCCAAGCUCCGAGGUCGACCGGGCAACGGAUUGUGGAGAGGCGCCCAAGGAUUUUUUUUUUACUACUGUUGAUUGUGCCAUCCAAUUGGUUUAGAGUUUUCACCAUUGCUAAUUACUAGGGGAGUACGGGUGCCGGACCUGGUAAGUGGCCUGCACGCUAUGCUCUUUGCAAAUAAUAUGCAACCAUGCCUGCACUGAAUUUUUAUUUAUUUCCGAUGUACCUUACAACAACUUCGUGAUGUAGCACUACUUUGCACUAGCAUGCACCUGCAGAUAUAAGUUGGUGAUGAUCUAAUUAUUUUUCAAGUCACAAGAUGUAAAUCUAUCUCCAACUCAUUAGUACUUCAAUUCUAGAAGAUUCACAUUUUUGUAUUUUUGUUUCAGGUUCUAAGCGAGGAAUUUUUGGUUGCAAAGUUGUAAAAGAAAUAUCUUCCUCAAAGUUGCAAAAGAAAUUUGUAGCAUGAUCAUCACCUUGUAGUUGGGAGAGAUAUAUAGUACUCAGCCAAGGGAAUGCCCUUCUCCGUAAGGCCGAUAUGAAGAUCGAGUUUGAAAUCAGCUAUCUCAAUGCAAAAUGCAUUUCCACAAUAGAGAUGGGGAAUGGAUACAUUGUUGUCGUCCUUCACUGAGCAGCCGAGUAGGAGCUCCUCCAUGCUGAUGAUGUGGAAGACAGAUACCCUGUCCGCGACGCCCGGCUCUGGCCUCAUAUAAAUGAGUCUAGAAGUGAUACUUUUGUGAGGAGUGCUGAAACAUGACUGGAUCAAGCGAGACGGAGAACGAUGGAUGAGAGAAAGAGAUCAGAAAAGGGAUUCGCUCCCAACCACCUCAUACAUACAUGUGUAAGAGCUUGUCACCUCAUACAUAUCUCUUGUAGCUAUAUAGGGCUCUUUUCGUAUUAUAGGAAAUUUUCAAAUUAUGUUUUACUAGGGAUGUAAGUAUCAGAUGCUAGAUAUGUGAUCUACUGAUCUAUGUGAUCUUUAGAGAUUUUAGACUUUCAGUAUUCAACCAUCAGUUGUCUUCCUUCAAUAUUUCUUUAUUUUUGUAGGGCAAUCUGUUUUUUUUAAUCCUUGAAGCACCAUUCAGAACAUAUGAUCGUGGUUGUCAAAUUCCUGUGAAAUACAUACCUUUGAUCUCAGUUUUAUAGGGAAAUUAACAUGAUCUCAUUUUUUUUAUCACACUGACAAUAUAUUAUGUUAUACAAUAAUAUACUGCUCUUUCGUAUUCUAGGAAAAUUUCAAAUUAUAUUCUACUAGGUCUGUUCUUUUUUUAAAAAAAUCCUUGAAGCGCCAUUCAGAACAUAUGAUUGUGGUUUUCAAAUUCCUGUGAAAUACAUACCUUUCAUCUCAAUUUUAUCAUGCUGACAAUAUAUUAUGUUAUACAAGGUGAUCCACAACAUAGCUUGCAGCCUCUGAGAGCUCAGGAAGAUGUGGAGAUGAUUAUAGCUUGAAACAUUGUGACUUUUUUCACUUAGUGGUCAUGUAACAUACAGUGGUAACAAUGAAUUCUUGCUCAUUUGGUAAAACUUACAUCUGAACUUAUCAUGAUAAUUAACCAUUGGUUAUCUGAUGAUUAGCGCUGUAAUUAGUUAUCUACCUUCCAUGUGGAGCGAAUUGGUUAUUGCAAGUAGUUCAAGCUGAUUGAAAGUUAAUGUGGCUGGUUGUAAGUAAUGAUGAGGUUGGUUGAGUUGCUUUUCUAUAAGUACACGUAUGUACAUUUCUUGGACUAUUGUGAAUCAAACCACUUUCUACAGUUUCCAAAUGCUGAUGUUAUCUGCACAAACUAACUAUUAAUCCAUGUGCAACAUAUUUCAUAUUAUUAUCUUUUUGCAGGGAGCAACAACUUGCAUGUAAUCUGAGUGUAUUUCAGUCAAUCUGCUCUUUUCAUAAAUUUAAUGAUAAUGUUGUGCGCAUCUCUGGGAUGCCGAAGGAAGUUUCUCUCUUACAGGUCCGGCUUGGUGUAACUGCUCUGUAUCUAGCGGCUGCAGUGCUUGCUUGUUUUAAAUUUCUCUUCCCCUUCAGGCCUGCUGCCAUGUUUCGGCUGCAGUAUGUAAUCCUGCUUCUCCUGAUCAUGUUGGUCAUCGCAUUGUGGUCCUUCCACUUUGCCUUAUAGGAUCUUUUCUUUAGCUCAUUCUCAUAGUUUCUGCUUAUCCUCCCCUCUUAUCAUCUGCAGAUCUAUGUAACUCUCUUUGUUCUAUCUCUUUGAGCUGAAUGAAAUUAGGCACCUCUUGGCGCCUUUGCUUGUUCAAAAAUAAUAAUACAAUCUAGAUAACAUUAUUGUGUUUGAU